UUGGGUGUUAAAUAGCCUGGCAGACCUGCCGCAAGCGAUAAAAAAGCAGCAAAAACCGGCGCAAUGAUUAAAAGAUGAGCGGUUGAAAUAAAAAUGCAUUUUUCCGCUUGUCUUCCUGAGCCGACUCCCUAUAAUGCGCCUCCAUCGACACGGCGGAUGUGAAUCACUUCACACAAACAGCCGGUUCGGUUGAAGAGAAAAAAUCCUGAAAUUCAGGGUUGACUCUGAAAGAGGAAAGCGUAAUAUACGCCACCUCGCGACAGUGCGCUAAAGCGCGUCGCAACUGCUCUUUAACAAUUUAUCAGACAAUCUGUGUGGGCACUCGAAGAUACGGAUUCUUAACGUCGCAAGACGAAAAAUGAAUACCAAGUCUCAAGAGUGAACACGUAAUUCAUUACGAAGUUUAAUUCUUUGAGCAUCAAACUUUUAAAUUGAAGAGUUUGAUCAUGGCUCAGAUUGAACGCUGGCGGCAGGCCUAACACAUGCAAGUCGAACGGUAACAGAAAGCAGCUUGCUGCUUUGCUGACGAGUGGCGGACGGGUGAGUAAUGUCUGGGAAACUGCCUGAUGGAGGGGGAUAACUACUGGAAACGGUAGCUAAUACCGCAUAACGUCGCAAGACCAAAGAGGGGGACCUUCGGGCCUCUUGCCAUCGGAUGUGCCCAGAUGGGAUUAGCUUGUUGGUGGGGUAACGGCUCACCAAGGCGACGAUCCCUAGCUGGUCUGAGAGGAUGACCAGCCACACUGGAACUGAGACACGGUCCAGACUCCUACGGGAGGCAGCAGUGGGGAAUAUUGCACAAUGGGCGCAAGCCUGAUGCAGCCAUGCCGCGUGUAUGAAGAAGGCCUUCGGGUUGUAAAGUACUUUCAGCGGGGAGGAAGGGAGUAAAGUUAAUACCUUUGCUCAUUGACGUUACCCGCAGAAGAAGCACCGGCUAACUCCGUGCCAGCAGCCGCGGUAAUACGGAGGGUGCAAGCGUUAAUCGGAAUUACUGGGCGUAAAGCGCACGCAGGCGGUUUGUUAAGUCAGAUGUGAAAUCCCCGGGCUCAACCUGGGAACUGCAUCUGAUACUGGCAAGCUUGAGUCUCGUAGAGGGGGGUAGAAUUCCAGGUGUAGCGGUGAAAUGCGUAGAGAUCUGGAGGAAUACCGGUGGCGAAGGCGGCCCCCUGGACGAAGACUGACGCUCAGGUGCGAAAGCGUGGGGAGCAAACAGGAUUAGAUACCCUGGUAGUCCACGCCGUAAACGAUGUCGACUUGGAGGUUGUGCCCUUGAGGCGUGGCUUCCGGAGCUAACGCGUUAAGUCGACCGCCUGGGGAGUACGGCCGCAAGGUUAAAACUCAAAUGAAUUGACGGGGGCCCGCACAAGCGGUGGAGCAUGUGGUUUAAUUCGAUGCAACGCGAAGAACCUUACCUGGUCUUGACAUCCA
rnacentral:rRNA from 1 species